rnacentral:rRNA from 1 species
AUGAGGACAAAACUAGUUCAUUGGGCUAGUGCAUUUUUUCCUACAGGAGCUAAUUGUGAAUCUAUGGAAAAUAAUCUUUGUGAGCCAUUUAACAAUGCCAUCAUAGAAUCAAGGUUCUACCCAAUUUUUUCACAGCAAGAGAUGAUAAGAAAGAAGAUGCUUGUUAGGGUGCAAGAGCAGAAGAAAUCAGCAACAUGGAAGGGCAAAAUUUGCCCAAAUAUUUUCAAGAAGCUAAACGUGAGUAUUAGAUUGACACAAUACAUUGAGGUACUCUGGAAUGGCAAGGAGGGAUUUGAGGUGCAGCACAUGAAGGGAAGAAAGAAGAAGUACACAGUAAAUCUUGAAAAGAGGGUAUGCACUUGUGGAUACUUUCAGCUGGCAGGCCUCCCUUGCUGUCAUGCUAUUGCAGCUAUUUACAAGAGUGGUACAAAGGUAGAUGACUACAUAGACAAGUGCUACUAG